UACAGAGGGGGCAAGCGUUGUUCGGAAUUACUGGGCGUAAAGGGCGCGUAGGCGGCCUGCUAAGUCGAACGUGAAAUCCCUGGGCUCAACCCAGGAACUGCGUCCGAUACUGGUUGGCUUGAAUCCGGGAGAGGGAUGUGGAAUUCCAGGUGUAGCGGUGAAAUGCGUAGAUAUCUGGAAGAACACCAGUGGCGAAGGCGGUCAACUGGCCCAUAACUGACGCUCAUGCACGAAAGCGUGGGUAGCGAACAGG
rnacentral:rRNA from 1 species